UGGGGAAUUUUGGACAAUGGGCGAAAGCCUGAUCCAGCAAUGCCGCGUGUGUGAAGAAGGCCUUCGGGUUGUAAAGCACUUUUGUCCGGAAAGAAAUCCUUGGCUCUAAUACAGUCGGGGGAUGACGGUACCGGAAGAAUAAGCACCGGCUAACUACGUGCCAGCAGCCGCGGUAAUACGUAGGGUGCAAGCGUUAAUCGGAAUUACUGGGCGUAAAGCGUGCGCAGGCGGUUUGCUAAGACCGAUGUGAAAUCCCCGGGCUCAACCUGGGAACUGCAUUGGUGACUGGCAGGCUAGAGUAUGGCAGAGGGGGGUAGAAUUCCACGUGUAGCAGUGAAAUGCGUAGAGAUGUGGAGGAAUACCGAUGGCGAAGGCAGCCCCCUGGGCCAAUACUGACGCUCAUGCACGAAAGCGUGGGGAGCAAACAGGAUUAGAUACCCUGGUAGUCCACGCCCUAAACGAUGUCAACUAGUUGUUGGGGAUUCAUUUCCUUAGUAACGUAGCUAACGCGUGAAAUUGACCGCCU
rnacentral:rRNA from 1 species